rfam:Danio rerio chromosome 4, GRCz11 reference primary assembly.
GCCCGGCUAGGUCAGUUGGAAGAGCAUGAGACUCUUAAUGUCAGGGUCGUGGGUUUGAGCCCCACGUUGGGCG